UUAGCUGUCUCAUGAUCUUCA
rnacentral:miRNA from 3 species